rnacentral:rRNA from 1 species
UACAGAGGGGGCAAGCGUUGUUCGGAAUUACUGGGCGUAAAGGGCGCGUAGGCGGCCUGCUAAGUCGAACGUGAAAUCCCCGGGCUCAACCCGGGAACUGCGUUCGAGACUGGCGGGCUUGAAUCCGGGAGAGGGAUGCGGAAUUCCAGGUGUAGCGGUGAAAUGCGUAGAUAUCUGGAGGAACACCGGUGGCGAAGGCGGCAUCCUGGACCGGCAUUGACGCUGAGGCGCGAAAGCCAGGGGAGCAAAGCGGG